CGAUCUGCUGAUCUGUCAGCAGGCGCGGUGCCGCCCUCUCCGCGCGCACUCUGCUGCUGCACCCCCAGAGACUGACAAACACCCGGCCGGCGCACCGAGGACCUCACUCGAUCUUGAUGCCGCUGAAGCAGCCAGCAGAUCAUACUAGAUAGGAUAUUCGAUCGUCAUGGAUAAUCGAUAAUUGAAGCUAAAAUGCGCCGUGCCCACUGUCCCUGUCAUCCCGGGCUAUGCAGGUGUAAAGGGUAACCAGACUGGGGAGGGACACACGGCCACGCUUUAUCUCCGGACCACAUCAUACAUGUUUGAUGUGUAGCCAUGACAUGUUAUAACGCUUUGGGAUGGACUUCUUCUGGCACGCGCCUUUAGUUGGAGUCAUCGCGUUUGGUUCGGCUGGUUCGGCUGGUUCAGCUGGUUUGGCGGGUGGAAGGAAGGAAGAAAGCAGCAGCAGCAGUUUGAUCAAACGCUGGGGCUCGGUAUGUCCUCCGUGGUGGUGUCCGGGGUGAGUGAGCUGAGCCUGGGAGAGCUGCCCAUGGAGAGCUGGAUGUCUCACCUGCCAUGCGCUCUGUGGGACACCCCCCUGUACCAGCUGGCCAUCCCGGGCAGCCACAAUGCAAUAACCUACUGUCUGGAUAUGAAUGACCGAUCCCCUGUGGACCUCACACAGCCAGACAUGCUUCAAAAGCUGGACAAAUACAUGAAGCCUCUUAUUCGCCCCUUUGUUUACAAGUGGGCGAUAACCCAGGAGUACACUAUAAAGCAACAGCUGGACUGUGGGGUCAGAUACUGUGACUUGAGAAUUGCACACAGGCCCAAUGACAGCUCCACUGAUCUGUACUUCUACCACGGUGUCUACACCACGCUCACUGUGGAGACUGUUCUAAUGGAGAUACGAGAGUGGCUGGAUGCUCAUCCCAAAGAGGUGGUCAUCCUCUCCUUCAGCCACUUCCUCGGCCUGAGCCAGGAGCUCCACACACUGCUGCUCACCACCAUACGCAACAUAUUCACCUCCAAACUCUGUCCCAAAACGGAAGUGUUAACUCUUCGAAACCUGUGGGCUUUAGGCUACCAAGUGAUGGUGUCCUAUGAACACAAUAUCGCCAGCUGCCACAGCGACCUGUGGCCACAUAUUCCUUACUGGUGGGCCAAUAAAUGCAAAGCUGAGGCUCUGAUCGAAGACUUUGAACACCGGAAACAACACGGCAGACCAGGAGGUUUUUUCGUCACGGGAAUGAAUCUGACCGAGGACCUGAAAUACAUCUGCACACACCCGACAGAGUCCCUGAAGGACUUGGUGAUGUCCACGUACCCGACACUGCUCAGCUGGGUUAAGGAGCAGACUCCCGGCUCCAAAGUCGGCUCUCUCAACAUCAUUGCUGGGGACUUUAUUGCGGAGAGCCAGUUUGUUCCGACUGUCGUUACACUGAAUGAGAAACUACUUAAAUGGUCCUCAUGACUUCUCACCAAUUUGAGUUAUUCUCAAAAAAAAAAAGUGAACCACAGCAUGAAAUACACAUGAGCUUGUUUUGUUAAGAGUGACAGAAAAAAAGUACUUGAAUUAUUCCUUUGAAUAUAAAUGCACUUAUUUGAAGGCAGUGAAAUGUAUAUUUCAGUCUUGAAGGGUAACUUCGGGGUUUUUUCAACCUGGACACUAUUUUCUUAUGUUUUUGUGUCGAAGUGACUGAUGGGAACAACAAUCUUUGACAUUGGUCCAGUAUUAAGCGAGACCGCUGCAUUUGGCUGCGGCGAAACAAGCUGCAAUUUAAGUUAUCGGGCAAUUGUGCACCUGCAGUUCACUAAUUCUAAGUAAUGACAACAGCACUGUCGGAGCAUCCACAUGACGCAAGCCACCCCUCCUCCACGCAGCUGAUGGUUGCAUUUAACCGUCAAAUUAAGGAGGAUACGGAGGAUUAAAGAAACAUGAUGGACUCUUCAGAAGAGGUCAAUGUAAAUAGCCACUCUAUAAUGUAAAGCCACCCUAAGAAUGAAACCAGGUCUGAGCCACAGAGUAACAAGAGCUCUCAGUGGCCCACAUAUGUUCUCAGAAGAAUUCUCUCAUCAGCACUUAUUUGGAAAAGUAUCAAUUGAAGUAAUCACUAAUUAUAAUCAAUCACUGAAAAGUCAAUCAUUGUUCCAGUAACACUGUCUAGCCUCCAUGUCUCUCCAAUACUACAUCCAGACAGUUAGAGAGCUCAGAUGUGGUUUUGAAUGUACAGGGUUAUGUUUUUUAUUAUUGCCCUAACUUUAAUCAGGGACUCUGUGUUGUUCUUUGUCCUUCUUCUUAGUGGCUGCUGCAUGAAUGAUAUGUUGAUGAGUUAGACGUA